AGAGAGCCGCACGGUGAGGGUGGGCUGCAGCGCGUGGACGCCACCGUGACUGGAGCCCCUUCCCCAAGCCUGGGCCUCCGGGCCCCAGGUCACUUUUAGAUCCAGCCCCAGGGGAACCCCCUGCUUUGGGUCGCAGCUGCCAUCUCUGCUGCAGUGUCUUCUGAUGAAAGCUGUCCCCUGUGGGCACGAGUGUGGACAUCCUGCACCUCCUAGGGCAGCAGUGCCGAGGUCCUGAUUUGGAAAGUCAGUCACAUGGAUGGCUACCAUGUGCCUAAAGCACUUGCAGCCUCAGAGAAAGGCAGAUGGCGGAGUGUCUCAAUUUGAAUUUCAACUCUGAAUUUGAACUCUGGGGCUCAAGAGAUCCUCACACAGGGAUCCUCUAGCCUCAGCCUCCUUUGGUUUCAUGAGUUUGUAGUAACCCCAUUGGGGUUCUGUACUUGGUAAAAGCUGAUGAAAGCUGUAGUUCCUCCUCCCACUCACAAUAUGGGGGGACUCAGCUCAGCCACCCCUGGUCAGACAGUUGACUUGUCAGCCAACACGACUGAGCAGACUCACUGAUUAAUUUAUUCAACAAACAGGCUCUCGGAGCUGUUCUGCAGUCCAGAGCUGAGUAGGCAGAGAAGGCUUCCUGGAGGAGGCUACUUGAGAUAAGGAAUCGCCUGCAUCCCCCAUCAUUGGUCAAGCCCCGUGGGAUCUGUGCAGAAAUGCCCUGACCCCCUUGUCACUGCUCCAUCAUACCUCUCAGGCCCAGCUGCAGCUCCCUGUAGCCUGAGGGACCCUCCCCAAACCAAAGUCACACCUACCUGGCCCCUCUUUCCUUACAGUUCCCCGCCCGGGCUGCCCAUGCCAGACUAAAGCCCUCCUCUCCUGGGCUGCCCAUGCCAGACUAAAACCACUCCCCUGGGCCGGGUGCGGUGGCUCAUGACUGUAAUCCCAGCAC